rnacentral:rRNA from 1 species
UGCAGUCGAGCGGUAGCACAGAGAGCUUGCUCUCGGGUGACGAGCGGCGGACGGGUGAGUAAUGUCUGGGAAACUGCCUGAUGGAGGGGGAUAACUACUGGAAACGGUAGCUAAUACCGCAUAACGUCGCAAGACCAAAGUGGGGGACCUUCGGGCCUCAUGCCAUCAGAUGUGCCCAGAUGGGAUUAGCUAGUAGGUGGGGUAAUGGCUCACCUAGGCGACGAUCCCUAGCUGGUCUGAGAGGAUGACCAGCCACACUGGAACUGAGACACGGUCCAGACUCCUACGGGAGGCAGCAGUGGGGAAUAUUGCACAAUGGGCGCAAGCCUGAUGCAGCCAUGCCGCGUGUAUGAAGAAGGCCUUCGGGUUGUAAAGUACUUUCAGCGAGGAGGAAGGCNUNAAGGUUAAUAACCUUGGUGAUUGACGUUACUCGCAGAAGAAGCACCGGCUAACUCCGUGCCAGCAGCCGCGGUAAUACGGAGGGUGCAAGCGUUAAUCGGAAUUACUGGGCGUAAAGCGCACGCAGGCGGUCUGUCAAGUCGGAUGUGAAAUCCCCGGGCUCAACCUGGGAACUGCAUUCGAAACUGGCAGGCUAGAGUCUUGUAGAGGGGGGUAGAAUUCCAGGUGUAGCGGUGAAAUGCGUAGAGAUCUGGAGGAAUACCGGUGGCGAAGGCGGCCCCCUGGACAAAGACUGACGCUCAGGUGCGAAAGCGUGGGGAGCAAACAGGAUUAGAUACCCUGGUAGUCCACGCCGUAAACGAUGUCGACUUGGAGGUUGUGCCCUUGAGGCGUGGCUUCCGGAGCUAACGCGUUAAGUCGACCGCCUGGGGAGUACGGCCGCAAGGUUAAAACUCAAAUGAAUUGACGGGGGCCCGCACAAGCGGUGGAGCAUGUGGUUUAAUUCGAUGCAACGCGAAGAACCUUACCUACUCUUGACAUCCAGAGAACUUAGCAGAGAUGCUUUGGUGCCUUCGGGAACUCUGAGACAGGUGCUGCAUGGCUGUCGUCAGCUCGUGUUGUGAAAUGUUGGGUUAAGUCCCGCAACGAGCGCAACCCUUAUCCUUUGUUGCCAGCGGUUCGGCCGGGAACUCAAAGGAGACUGCCAGUGAUAAACUGGAGGAAGGUGGGGAUGACGUCAAGUCAUCAUGGCCCUUACGAGUAGGGCUACACACGUGCUACAAUGGCAUAUACAAAGAGAAGCGACCUCGCGAGAGCAAGCGGACCUCAUAAAGUAUGUCGUAGUCCGGAUUGGAGUCUGCAACUCGACUCCAUGAAGUCGGAAUCGCUAGUAAUCGUAGAUCAGAAUGCUACGGUGAAUACGUUCCCGGGCCUUGUACACACCGCCCGUCACACCAUGGGAGUGGGUUGCAAAAGAAGUAGGUAGCUUAACCUUCGGGAGGGC